AUGGCGACGGCGGAGGAAGGCGAGGGAGGAGAGGUACAACCACCAGGAUUAGGGAGGGGGAGGUGUCCAAGAUUCCGGCGAUCUGAGGCGACCCGCGGCAUGGCCGGAGGCGGCGGCGUUGGGGGGAAGGAGGAUGGCGGCACGGAGCCCCUACUCCUGUCCGUCCUCGCUCUCCCCGCAACGGCGCUCCCCGCCGUCGUCUCCCGCCUGGAGGCCGCCGUCCCGCGGAAGGCGCGCAGCUACCUCCCCCGCAACGUCCCGUCGGCCUGGUGGUCACUCAGGAUCCCCUUCAUCCAGCCGCUGCCGCCGGCUGGGGACCCGGCAAACGAAGAGGAGGGGAGAAGGUUCCCCCGCACCCAGCGCGUGCAGGUGGCUCCGUCUCUCGAUCCAGGCACGGCCGAUAAGCCGCCCAAGAGAUUGAAGAGGUGCCUGCACUGCAAGGCGGUGGAGACGCCGCAGCGGAGGUCAGGGCCGAUGGGGCGGGGUACCCUCUGCAACGCCUGCGGAGUCUGGUACAGUAAGAACGGGACACUGCCGGAGCACCGUCCGGUGGCAAGCCCAAUCGUCGAUUCGCCGCUGGAGAGCCCGAUCUGGGAGCCCGAGGUGCCUGGGGCCAUCUACCUGGUCAGAAAGUCGGCCACGGAGAGGAUGCCUCCCAGGACAGAAGCUGCGCCAGCGCCACGGCCGGGGACGAGCUGCUUGCACUGCGGGUCCUCGGAUCCACCUUUGUGGAUAGAAGGAUUGAUGGGGCGGAGGGAGGUCUGCACCGCCUGCGGCAUGCGGUACAAGAAGGGGAGGUUGCUGCCGGAGUGCCGUCCAGCAGAGUGCUCAGUGACGGAUUCCCAGCAGGAGAGCCCAGUCAUCAACUCCCCGCCAGAGAGUCCCAUCUGGGAGCCUGAGGCGCCUCCGUCCGUGCACCUGCCAAGAAAGCCUUCAAAGAAGAAGAAGAGGAGGCGGUCUAGAAGCGAAGCCCCUUCGGCGCCAUGGCCGGCGAAUAAGGGGAAGAGGUGCCAGCACUGUGGGUCGUCAGAGACGCCACAGUGGAGGGAGGGGCCAAAGGGGCGAGCCACGCUGUGCAACGCGUGCGGCGUGCGGUACAGGCAGGGAAGGCUACUGCCGGAGUACCGGCCCGUGGCGAGCCCUACAUUUGUGCCAACAAAGCAUGCCAAUACCCACCGCAAGGUGCUCCAGUUGCAUCGAACCAGGCAAAGCAACGACGAGCAUCCAUCACCGUUGCCUGCCGACAGCGUCACCAACCUGCCCCCAAUCCGCAACGAGCUCCCGACCACCAGCACGGCAGGUCUCGCCAGUGAGGACCCGACCGAUGCACCGGGCUACACCGACAACCCAAUCAAUGUGCCGAGCUCACUGGACUCGCUGCUGCUCGACGGGCCGUCGGCGCCGCUCAUCGUAGAGAGUGAAGAUUUUGCGAUUAGCUAG
rnacentral:rRNA from 1 species